GACAGAGGGUGCAAACGUUGUCCGGAUUUAUUGGGCGUAAAGAGCUCGUAGGCGGCUCGGUAAGUCGGGUGUGAAACCUCCAGGCUCAACCUGGAGACGCCACCCGAUACUGCUGUGGCUAGAGUCCGGUAGGGGGAGCGUGGAAUUCCUGGUGUAGCGGUGAAAUGCGCAGAUAUCAGGAGGAACACCAGCGGCGAAGGCGGCGCUCUGGGCCGGAACUGACGCUGAGGAGCGAAAGCGUGGGUAGCAAACAGG
rnacentral:rRNA from 1 species